UUGAACGCUGGCGGCAGGCCUAACACAUGCAAGUCGAGCGGUAGAGAGAAGCUUGCUUCUCUUGAGAGCGGCGGACGGGUGAGUAAUGCCUAGGAAUCUGCCUGGUAGUGGGGGAUAACGUUCGGAAACGGACGCUAAUACCGCAUACGUCCUACGGGAGAAAGCAGGGGACCUUCGGGCCUUGCGCUAUCAGAUGAGCCUAGGUCGGAUUAGCUAGUUGGUGAGGUAAUGGCUCACCAAGGCGACGAUCCGUAACUGGUCUGAGAGGAUGAUCAGUCACACUGGAACUGAGACACGGUCCAGACUCCUACGGGAGGCAGCAGUGGGGAAUAUUGGACAAUGGGCGAAAGCCUGAUCCAGCCAUGCCGCGUGUGUGAAGAAGGUCUUCGGAUUGUAAAGCACUUUAAGUUGGGAGGAAGGGUACUUACCUAAUACGUGAGUAUUUUGACGUUACCGACAGAAUAAGCACCGGCUAACUCUGUGCCAGCAGCCGCGGUAAUACAGAGGGUGCAAGCGUUAAUCGGAAUUACUGGGCGUAAAGCGCGCGUAGGUGGUUCGUUAAGUUGGAUGUGAAAUCCCCGGGCUCAACCUGGGAACUGCAUCCAAAACUGGCGAGCUAGAGUAUGGUAGAGGGUGGUGGAAUUUCCUGUGUAGCGGUGAAAUGCGUAGAUAUAGGAAGGAACACCAGUGGCGAAGGCGACCACCUGGACUGAUACUGACACUGAGGUGCGAAAGCGUGGGGAGCAAACAGGAUUAGAUACCCUGGUAGUCCACGCCGUAAACGAUGUCAACUAGCCGUUGGGAGCCUUGAGCUCUUAGUGGCGCAGCUAACGCAUUAAGUUGACCGCCUGGGGAGUACGGCCGCAAGGUUAAAACUCAAAUGAAUUGACGGGGGCCCGCACAAGCGGUGGAGCAUGUGGUUUAAU
rnacentral:rRNA from 1 species